GAGGCUUUGAAGACGUGACGCCAGUUGCGUUGGAGCCGUCCUUGAAAUACCACCCUUGUAUGUUUGAUGUUCUAACGUUGGCCCCUAAUCGGGGUUGCGGACAGUGCCUGGUGGGUAGUUUGACUGGGGCGGUCUCCUCCCAAAGAGUAACGGAGGAGCACGAAGGUGGGCUAAUCACGGUUGGACAUCGUGAGGUUAGUGCAAUGGCAUAAGCCCGCUUAACUGCGAGAAUGACGGUUCGAGCAGGUGCGAAAGCAGGUCAUAGUGAUCCGGUGGUUCUGAAUGGAAGGGCCAUCGCUCAACGGAUAAAAGGUACUCCGGGGAUAACAGGCUGAUACCGCCCAAGAGUUCAUAUCGACGGCGGUGUUUGGCACCUCGAUGUCGGCUCAUCACAUCCUGGGGCUGAAGUCGGUCCCAAGGGUAUGGCUGUUCGCCAUUUAAAGUGGUACGCGAGCUGGGUUUAGAACGUCGUGAGACAGUUCGGUCCCUAUCUGCCGUGGGCGUUGGAAGAUUGAAGGGGGCUGCUCCUAGUACGAGAGGACCGGAGUGGACGAACCUCUGGUGUUCGGGUUGUGUCGCCAGACGCAUUGCCCGGUAGCUAAGUUCGGAAUCGAUAACCGCUGAAAGCAUCUAAGCGGGAAGCGAGCCCUGAGAUGAGUCUU
rnacentral:rRNA from 1 species